CGCUGGCAAAGAAGCCUUAUCUAUCUAAAACUUAGUUUUCUUACAACAAACUCUCCAGAAAAACCAGACAACACUUCUGUUAGACAAUGGAGAAGUUAAUUAUAAUGACCAAACCACCCCUAUCUUCAAUCCUCAACAACAAACCAGACAUUAUCCCACCACCCAAACCAAUCAAAUCCAAACCCACCGACUCACAUUUAAACCACCUCUGCAAAACCGGCCGGUUAAACGAGGCAGUAACCGCUCUUGAACAAAGUAAUUCUAAAAUAUCAUCUAAAACCUUCAUAAACUUGCUCCAAUCUUGUAUCCAACUCAAUUCGCUUACGCUCGGCCGGAAGCUCCAUGCCCAUCUUCACUUAGUCGAGGAAACCAAUGUCAAUCCGUUUCUUCAGACCAAGCUAGUGAGUAUGUACUGUAAAUGCGGGAGUUUAAGGGAUGCACGUAAGGUGUUCGAUGAAAUGCCUGAGCGAAAUUUGUACACAUGGUCCGCUAUGAUUGGUGGGUUUUGUAGAGAUCAUAGGUGGAAGGAAGUUGUCGAGUUGUUUGGUUUGAUGAUGGAGGAGAAUUGCUUGCCUGAUGCUUUCUUGUUGCCUAAGAUAUUGCAAGCUUGUGGGAAUUUUCGAGAUGUUGAGGCCGGGGAGAUGGUGCAUUGUUUGGCGGUUAAAUGUGGAGUGGACGGUUAUCCUUUUGUUAGUAACUCGAUUUUGGCGAUUUACGCCAAGUGUGGGGAGUUGAAUUUGGCUAGGAAGUGUUUUGAUAGGAUAGAGAGGAGGGAGAUUGUGAGUUGGAAUGCUAUGAUAUCCGGGUAUUGCCAAAACGGAUACAUUGAGGAAGCUCGAACAUUAUUUGAUGCAAUGUGUGAGGAGGGGAUUGAACCUUGUUUAGUGACGUGGAAUAUACUGAUAUCGGGUUAUAAUCAGGUAGGGUGUUGUGAAGUUGCGAUGGGAUUGAUGAAGAAGAUGGAAAUUCUUGGGGUGAAACCUGAUGUUUUCACUUGGACUUCUAUGAUUUCAGGGUUGGCACAAAAUGAUAUGACGAAUAAGGCGGUGUAUUUGUUCAAUGAUAUGAUUUUGGCUGGGGUUGAGCCGAAUGGAGUCACGAUUAGUAGUGCAAUAUCAGCAUGUGCUUCUUUGAAAGUGUACAAUGAAGGGUUGGAACUACAUGCACUUGCAGUUAAGAUGGGUUUUGUGGAAGACGUGCUAGUUUGUAAUUCACUCAUUGACAUGUACUCAAAGUGUGGGGAUCUGGAAAAUGCUUGUAAGGUUUUUGAUAUGAUGCCGGAGAAAGAUGUUUAUAGUUGGAAUUCCAUGAUUGGGGGCUUUUGUCAAGCUGGAUAUUGCGGUAAAGCUCAUUUGCUCUUCAUGAAAAUGCAAAAAUCUGAAACACAACCUAACGCCAUCACAUGGAAUAAUAUGAUAUGGGGAUAUAUACACCAUGGUGAUGACGAUCGAGCCAUGGAUCUUUUUCGAAGGAUGGAAGAGGAUGGGAAAAUCAGGCGUGAUACUGCCACAUGGAACUCUCUUAUUUCUGGUUAUCUGCAAAUUGGACAGAAAGACAAGGCACUUAGCAUAUUUCGACAAAUGCAGUCUUUUGGUAUUAGUCCCAAUUCUGUGACUAUUCUGAGUGUUUUACCUGCUUGCGCGAAUUUAGUUGCUCUGAAAAUGGUAAAAGAAAUCCAUUGUUGUGUGAUACGUAGAAAUUUGGAGUCUGUACUCCCCAUUACGAAUUCACUGAUAGACAUUUAUGCCAAGUCAGGGAACAUAGGAUAUUCAAGAACUAUAUUUGAUAGAACGUUGGCCAAAAAUUUCAUCACCUGGAACUCAUUGAUAGCUGGUUAUGUUUUAUUUGGUUGUUCAGAUGCUGCACUUAAACUUGUCGAUCAGAUGACAAAACUAGGACUUAAGCCCAACAAAAGUACUUUUGUUAGUAUUAUCCUUGCAUACGGUCUUGCUGGAGCAGUUGUUAAGGGGGAGAAAACUUUCUCUAGCAUGAUGGAAGACUAUCAAAUUAAACCAUGUUUAGAACAUUACUCAUCUAUGGUACAUUUAUAUGGCCGUUCUGCUAAACUGAAAGAAGCAAUGGAAUUUAUUGAGAGAAUGCCAAUAGAGCCCGACUUCUCUGUGUGGUCUGCCUUACUGAAUGCCUGCUUGAUUCAUGGCAAUUUUGGUAUAGCAAUCCAUGCAGGGGAAAAUUUACUCAACUUGGAGCCAGAAAAUCCUGUGAUCCGCCACCUGGUUUCACAGGCAUACACUCUAUGUGGAAGGUCUGAAGAUGCUUUAGAAGUAAAAGGACUUGAGAAAGAUAACAAACUACCAAAAGUUAUUGGGCAAAGCUGGAUUGAAGUAAAAAACAGUGUGUAUUCUUUUCCUGCUGGUGAUCUGUCGAAAUCUAACACCAACAUUUUAGUUUCUUGGGUUCAAGGCAUAUUAGAAGAAAUGAAGGCAUGUGAUCUACAGCAUGGGUAUAGCAUUGAGGAAGAGGAGAAGGAAGAAAUCAUUGGUGUACAUAGUGAAAAGCUUGCAUUUGCUUUUGCCUUUAUUUGUGCACCGUCUUCACCUCAAAGUAUAAGAGUAGUGAAAAAUAUGAAAAUGUGCGGAGAUUGCCAUAGGAUGGCUAAAUAUAUCUCCAUGAAAUAUGGGCGUGAAAUUAUCUUAAGCGACUCAAAUUGCUUGCACCAUUUUAAAUCUGGCCGUUGUUCAUGCCGUGAUUAUUGGUAAAGUGAUUAAUGAACAGUUAAGCUCUACUAUCGCAAUACCAGUUCCAGUGCAAUUUUCUUUGAGUGCUCUGGAUACUGUUCAGGCUGACAUAGAUCUGGCUGCUGCUUAAAGUUGCAGCACGCUUUUGGUCCUUUAAUUCCAUCCUGAGUGCCAAGCAAUAACAUGCUUCACUUCUUGAGGAUUUUAGGGAGUUUGAAACGACAAGGUUAGACUUGGUAGAUGGUGAUGGCUCCGCAGAACAAGCUCUUCUCAAAGAGCGUGCAUCCAUCAACAGAUAUACUGGACAGAUCACUAUCAACUAAUCAGUGGAUAUAUAGUGAGUAUAUAUUUUUCAAUUAUCUCCCACAUACUAUACAAUCACUAUCAAGAAUAAUUUAAUGUUCCAUCAAUUAGUCAAUCAAAUGUGAAAGAUUGGUUCUUUGAUAAAGUAAUUCUCUGCACAGAGUGUCCCGGGCGUCUCUGAAGUUAAUUCUGAUUGAUUGUGGAAGCCCCAAAAAUCGUGCUAGAACUGUGCUGUAUAGUGUUGUAGUUUAGCCUCUGUACCUUUCCCUACGUGGCUCAUCUGUGUCAAAACCAACUGCUUAAUAUUGUUAUUUUAGGUCAUGUUUUAUAUCUGCUUAAGUCAUUUGCGGAAAUGCCUCGCUGAAUUUUUUGUAUUGAUAUGUGUAUCUUUGUUAACCUAGUUUAAUCAACAUGUCCCAUUUUAGAAACGUAUCAGACACUUACAUUUCGGACAGGGAAUUCCAUUUUACAUGGAAAACCAUAAAAUAAUGCCGUUUCACAGUGUCAAAGUGUCCCGUGUCCGUGCUACCUAGUUGUUAAGUUGGCAGUGAAGAUCUAUAUACAGCUUUAGCCAGUUCUGCUUCAGAAAAUUCUUGAUUGAUAGAGCUGUUAAUUCUCUGAGCCUUAUCCUAGCAUUCUUAUGUUUUCGUUCAUUUAAUUUGAUUGAUUAUGAGAUAAUUUGUGCUAUGUUUUUGCUGAAAUGGCUAACUAUGGUGGUGAUGAGAUAUCCAUGUUUUGAGGUAUAGAAUUUGGUACCAAGUUCCUGCUUAUAGGGAGAACCUACUUAGGAUCACUGCAUUUUUUGUGGAAUUAUUGGAUUAUUUGAGUCUAAGUAUUGCUGAUUGCUUUGAUUGGUUGCCUUUCAUGUCUUUGUACCAGAUCGAGUGUAACAAUACUCUUGUCGUGUACCUUUGUGAUGGGGACAGGGUCUGAAAAACUUGGAAACUUUGUGUUAUCAGCUUCAUCUUUCAUACACAGGAGCUAGGAGUUAAAAAGCAUCACUAUAUAUCUAAACUAAGUCUUUGACUUGUUUUGGGACCCUUGUUUGUUUGAUAUAUUCUGUUUACGUUUUUAUUUUAAGUUUUACGUUUAAUUAUGGUUGAAUUCGA